CAUUAUUGUUCUUGUCUUUAUAUUAUUUCAUAACAAAUUAGUUGUUAAAAAUAAAUAAAUAAUUUUAAUUUCUAUAAAAAUAGAUUGAUUUAAGAUUUUAAUUGCUUUAGAGAAAAAAAAACCAAAAAAUAGAAAUAAAAAAAUAGGAAGAAGGCCCAAAUUAAUUUUAAACCCCAAUCCAAUUCCAAUCCCACUACCCAAAUACCCAUUACUCUUUAUACUAGCUCUGCCUGUACACAUACACAAUUAAAAAAGACCUAUAGACAGACGAGAAAGGGCGCAGCUCCCCCUCCUUCUUCUUCUUCUGGAUUUUUCUCUAAACCAGACGGACUCUCUUUCUCUCUCAAGCAAAAGAAUAAAAAUGGACCUCACCCCUAUUUUCCCAAAGAUACGGCAGAAAGCAUAACAAAAAAGCUCACUCAAAAUUUCUUAGAAUUUGAAGCUUUCUUCUUUUGCUUUCAAGUUUUUGUUUUCUGAGAUUUAGAAGAGGAACGGAUUCUUGAAGCUGUGGUUUUGAAUUUCUUCUGCUGAAUUUCCAACUUAAUUCCAGACUUUCAUUUGGUUUGUUUAGCUGAUUUGGUCAUAUUUAGGUAUGUUCUUCAUUUGGUUCGUCAACACUUGUUUGCACGCAGUCUUUACUCUUUAGGGCAAUAAUCAGCAGAACGGUG
rnacentral:lncRNA from 1 species